rnacentral:misc_RNA from 1 species
GAUGAAGAACGUAGCGAAAUGCGAUAAGUAAUGUGAAUUGCAGAAUUCAGUGAAUCAUCGAAUCUUUGAACGCACAUUGCGCCCGCCAGUAUUCUGGCGGGCAUGCCUGUUCGAGCGUCAUUACAACCCUCAGGCCCCCGGGCCUGGCGUUGGGGAUCGGCGGAGCCCCCCGUGGGCACACGCCGUCCCCCAAAUACAGUGGCGGUCCCGCCGCAGCUUCCAUCGCGUAGUAGCUAACACCUCGCGACUGGAGAGCGGCGCGGCCACGCCGUAAAACACCCAACUCUUCUGAAGUUGACCUCGAAUCAGGUAGGAAUACCCGCUGAACUUAAGCAUAUCAAUACGGAGGA